AACAUAGCCAAUACUGAUAAAAACAUUUUAGUCAAAACUAGUUGCUUCUCCUCCUCCUCCUCUUUCUAGUUUUAAAUAAAAACUAUACUUCUUGAUAAAUACCCUCAUAGUUCAUUGUACGAUUAUUUAAACUAUCAAACCUUAACGGCUGGCAAGCCUUUUCUGAAGCACUUGAUUUCAAGCAAUAUGAAGAAAACUAUAAAUGAUUUUUGACAAAAGUAGAAAUUUCAGAGCUCUUUGAAAACUCAACUAUCAAUGAUGCUUUUCCAAUGCAAUAAAGGAAAUCACGAAGAGCAGACUGCAUAUUAUCAGUAUGAGGAGUACUAAUUGUAUCAGGGAGGAGCUCUAAGCCUGCGAACUGCCAUCUGCUGUUCCUGAACUUCCAUCAUUAUCAGGUUGAACAAGCAUGGCUACCAUGACUCAUCGAGAUACCUGCGAUCAUACGAAACCUUUUAAUGUCAAGCUGUACAUACUUUGGCUAAUAUUGCAUCAUGAAUGAACAUGUUAAAAUAAUCCGAAACAACUAAAAUACUUGAAUCAAACGGAUAGAAAAUAUUAUAAGCUACAGAGAACUUCUCUGGUCACUUUCAGAAGUAACUAAUUUGUAGGUAGGAGUAUUGAUGAAAAAGACAGUUGUAAUUUUCUUUUUAUAGGUAAUUUAUAUGAUAAGGUUUUAACCAUAACAUGCAUUAUUUUUUUUCAUGAUAAGUUGGUUUUGGCUAGAAUUUAUAGCAUCGAGUUGUAGAACAUACAUGAUGACUAUAUGUGAUAAAAAGACAAAGUGAAUUAAAAUCACAUGAAGGAAAGUCGUCUCAAUAAUCUGCAAUCUUUUAUUCUUGUGCUCCUAAUAUUUUGUACGCUGAGUUUCUUAGAAAAUUAAGGCUAUUAUGUUGAUGUAAAUGAUUUAACAACAUCACAAUUCAUUGACAUACCCUUGAUGUAGCAUCCAUAUGAGGCGGAGUGAGUCUAUUUUCACGUUCAUCUGGUAUUCCACUCUCAUUUCCAGUGGUUUCAGUUUGCAAGGCCACUUGACCUUGUACAUUGUUGUUUAUCCUGAAACAAAGUAAAUGCAGUAGAUUACAAUGUAAUGAUAAGCAUAUGUAAGUCAAAUGCCCUUUGAGAUUUUACAAUGCAAGUGUACAGUGGAGCUAUGUUGCUCGGACUCUUCAAAAAUUUCAACGGGUGCGUCUCGGGUACUCCAAAAGUAGUGCCUUUUGGAGAACCCAUGGGAGUGGUAACAAUCUUAGAGGGUCCAAGCAACAUAGCUGAGUCCACACAAUCUAACAAGCUUGUAGGUAAGCAUGCGGUGGCAGACUGCAGAAUUGACAUAUUAAAUGCACCCAAAAAGCAGAAUGAAAUAUCUAAUUCAUUGAAAUUCCAUCCAAUAAAAGGAAGAUAAAUAUUCAGAAUAAAUGCACAACUGGCAAACUAGAUGGUCUAAAAACACCCAAGGUGUUGUGCAUUGCUGUUGGGGACAUCCAGUAAAGUCGGAAUUGCCCAAAUUGUUUUUAACGAACAUUGCCCUAGCUAAACAAUAAGACGUGGCCUCACGUAACAAUUUGAACCUUAUGCAUGCAUCUCAAAUUUCACUUACAGUUGUGAACUCUCUAUAGGAGCAUUCAUUAAGUGCGUAGCAUUAUCUUCUGCCACCGGAGAUGGAGAUGCCGAGCGUUCCGUAGCCGUAGUUGGUGAAUCGAGUGGCUUCUCUAGAGGAACAUUUGUUGAGAAAUAAGCAUUGUUUUCUUCCACCAGAGAUAGAGACGUCGAAUGUUCAGUUGUAGUAAUUGGUGAUGUGAGCAGCAUCACUCCAAGACCAAUCUCAUUUGGCGGAAUGUUUUUGUUUGGUGCAUAUAUUAGAGUGACAAUUUCUUCAUCAACAACUAUAUCUUCAAAGAGAGGAUCUUUGCCUGCUUCUUCUAACAAAAGGGACUAUCCCUUUCUCUUGCUAAAUUAUUCCCCACCAACCCACAGGCUGAUCAACCACCACCACCAGCAAGCUCUCUGUUUUUUUCAUUGCAUUGCCGCCAUCUGUCAGCAGUAUUCCAGCGACCCUAUCCCCAUGACCGUCGACCAACGAUCCACCAACUCCGACAAUUGGCAGACUAAGGAGUAUAUCAGACUUCGCCAGACUUCGGUAAAUCUGCCCAUAGUAGUAUUUUAUUCUCAUCAACUUCAAGGUACGAUCCACCAUCCCCUUUUUUUCUUUUCUUGUCUUAUGUAUAUCUGAUUUUUCCUUAAUGAAUUGCACAACCCCUUAUUGUUGCUUGAUUGUUAACUGGUUUCCUUAAAUCUGAUAUUGCGUUCGUGGAUUUAUUGCUGCUUCCUUAUAAAUGCUACUGCAUUUUUUUCAUUUCAACUUUGAACUAUAUCCUUGCUAUAGUUUACUGCUUCUUUUUAUUUUCGUCAUUGUAUUGCUCAGGGGCAAAUCUACUAGGGAGGGAGAGGGUGCCACGGCAACGGCACACCUCAAUUAAAAUCGUGUAUAUAUGUGUAUAUAUAUAUAUUUGUUUUUUUAUUCAGAGAAAAUGUAAUAAGUAUAUAAAGUGGCACCUAGACUACCAAUAGGUCAUUUGGUGCCAUUGGCUGACGGUUGAACUCUGCCCUUAGGGUGCAGGAUCGGCUCUUGCUUGCACCACUUUUAUAGAAUUAUUUUGUUUACAUUGGGAGAUUCCCUUCUCCCUUUCUUUCUUUCCUUGUUCUGUCUUUUCUUUCUUUUUCUUUAUUUGUUGUUGACUCUUUAUGAGUUCCCAUUGGCAUUUUUAAAUUUUAUUUAUUCAUUUAACCUCGAUCAAAAUCGUGUGUUUAUAUAUAUUGUAUACAAAGGAAAUGUAAUAAAUAUAUAAAGUCGUACCCAGGCAACCAAACGAUCGUUUGGUUGCCACUGGCUGAUAGCUGAAUCUUCCGCCUUAGGGCGCGGGAUCAACUCUGUCUUGUACCACAUUUAUAGAAUUAUUUUGUUUACAUUUAGGAAGCUUAGGAGAUUCACUUCUCCCCCUUUUUUCUUUUCUUUUCCUUGUGCUGUCUUUUCUUUCUCUUUUUCUUUAUAUGUUGUUGACUCUUUAUGAGUUGUUCUUAUUGACUUUUUAAAUUUUAUCAAUUUUUAUAACCUCGAUCGAAAUAGUGUAUAUAUAUGUAUUGUAUAAUAAAGUGACAUCCGAACUACCAAAUGAUCGUUUGGUGCCACUGAUUGGUGGCUAAAUCUUCCGCUCUUUGGACACAGGACUGACUCUUGCUUGCACCACUUUUAUAGAAUUAUUUUGUUUACAUUUCUGAAGCUUAGGAGAUUCCCUUCUCCCUUAUUCUUUUUUUUCUUUUUCUAGUUCUCUCUUUUCAUUGUUUUUUCUUUAUUUGUUGUUGACUCUUUAUGAGUUCUUAUUAACUUUUCAAAUUUAAUUGGUUCUUGUAACGUCGAUUGUGUGAAAGAAAGGUAGCAGACAACCGACUUCACCGAGAGCCUAAACGAUAUUAAGGAGAAGUCCACCGGUUGACAAACAACUUCUAUCUAUUGGUGCUUUCAUUAUGGAUCGGUUGACUUGUCACGAUUGAGUACUCACACACAACUAGGUUAGGCAGGCUUGGGGUGGUGAUCUGAAUCGCUAUCUAUGUGAUGUGGGAUUGAUUGCUGAUUGUAACGAACUUGACUCUGCCCCAGAAAAAAGGGGCGGGGCUGGGGAGGGAUUGGGGUCACUUUUCUUUAGGACUUUACCAAGGCCCCUGAAAAAAAGGGUGGGAAGACCUUUGACCUAGGUGGGGAGGGAUUGGGUCGCUUUUCUUUAGUAUUUUAAUCCAUAGCAAGGCUCGAAGACCUUUGGCUCUAUUUGAAAUAGAGCAGGUUUUCAUCCGCUUACCAUGUGGGUUGGAUUAGCAGUUUUCUCUAUUUUCUUCAAUGGUAGAAAAUAGGCAUGACUAGUUUUUAGAUAGGGAAGGUGGAGUUAGCUAUAAUUGAGACAAUUCGGAUGGACAAUAUGGAUCUUGUAACCUCUAUCGUAAUAAUAUAUAUGUAUGUAUUGUAUACAUAGCAUAUGUACUAGAUAUAUAAAUUGGCACCUGAACUAUCAAAAAGUCGUUUGGUGCUACUGGUUGAUGGUUGAAUCUUCUGCCUUAGGGCACAAGAUCGACUCUUGCUUGCACCACUAUUCUAGAAUUAUUUUGUUUACAUUUGAGAAGCUUAGAAGAUCCCUUUUCCUUUAAUUUUUUCUUUUCUUGUUUUGUUUUCCUUUCCUUGUUCCGUCCUUUCUUUUUUCUUUAUUUGUUGUUGUGUCUUUAUGUUAUUGACUUUUUAAAUUUUGUUAAUUCUUGUAUCCUCGAUCAGAUUCAUGUAUAUGUAUGUAUUGUAGAUAGAGGAAAUGUAAUAACUAUGUAAAGUGGCUCCCGAAUUACCAAAAGGUCGUUUAGUGCCACUGGCUGAUGGCUGAAUCUUCCGCCCUUAGGGCGCGGGAUCGACUCUUGCUUGCACCACUUUUUAAAUUUUAUUUUGCUUGCAUUUAAGAUGCUUAGAAGAUUCUGUUCUCUUUUUUCUUCUUUUCGUUUUUUGUUUUCUUUUCCUUGUUCCGUCUUUUUGGCUUUACAAAGUUGGAAGGAGGCUUUAUUCGAUCAACAAGAGGGGGAAGAGAAGACCAAGAACUUGGAGUGUUGCCCCCUUAGCAAUCAAGUGAGUUAUUUGGAAAGAGAGAAAUAGGAGGGCUUUUGAAAGGAUGGAAGAUUUUGUAAACAUCCAUAGUAGUGUGGUGUCUUUAGUUUCUUUUUGGUGUACUUAUUAGGUCCCUAUCCAUAUAGAGGAUUGGAUAUCUUUUGUCGAGAACCAUUGUUUUGGUGUAGGUCCUCUUCUUUUGGCAUAUGGCUUGUACAAGGAAUUUCCACAUUGUCAGUAAAUGUAUUUACGUUAUCAAAAAAAUGAAGGUGUGGAGGUUGAGAUUAGGAUAGAAGGUUAAUAUGUAACUGAAAGUUGUCACACUUUAUGUGUGAGGCAGGGGUAGCCUCAUCCCGUCUCCUCUUUAUUAGUAGUAGUAUUUAGUAACCACGUAGUUUCAUUUUCUUCAAUGUGUAUUACUGUCCGAUGCUUCAUUUACUUUGUAUCUUGCUAUUGUACUGUCAUUUUUCUUGCAGCCCUCCGCAUCAAAUUCUCCUCUCUUUUGAGCUGAGGGUAUAUCAAAACAGCCUCCCUACCCCAUACAGGUAGGUAAGGUUAUGUGCACCCUCUCAUGCAUAUUCACUUCAGUUUAUUCAUAUGUCCUCUAGCUGUGUAGCACCCUCUUGCAUUUCUUUCUCUCAAAUCUAAAUUGCAGUACUGUGAGUCUGGUAAUUGUUUGAGAACCUGCAGGAUCUUAGGGUUUACCUUAUUACUAGAAAACCCAAGUAGAAAUAUAUUAAUGAUGUCUAUAUUUUUAUUUUGGUUUCAUCACUCCCUUCUUGAAGGAAAAGAGCUGACCAGAUUCAUGCCUCGUCAUUGUAUCAAAAGCGACUGGACCAUAGCCAUGACAACUAUGCAGUUGAAGUCUUAUUACAUGGUGUGAACAUCAAUAACUGAAUCCUAUCUCUCCUAGUAAACCCACACAUCCAUGGUAGCAUCCUCAUUUCCACCACCUUCAUCUAUUGGAUGUGAGAUGAGGAUGGGGACUAAAUGGGCAUGGAUACCAGGGAUUGGGGACCAAAUCUACAAUUUAUCCUAGAUGAUCUCAGUUCCUGUUAGACUAAUAGCAGCUGUGCUGAAAAUCAAUCAACAUUUGGCUCGAGUACUCUUAUGUUUUAUGUUUAACAGAUGCACGAUUUAGGGUUGCUGAACAUCAGGCCCAUAAAUCCUAAGCAUCAGUGAAUCAAGUAUCCUGCAAAGCAUGAGAUUAUUGAUAAGCAUAAAAGGUUGGAUUUAGGUGGUCAAUAGAACAUACCCUGGGUGCCACAAUGGAAACAUGGCCCUUGUCUAUCCAUAAAAUCUGAUUCUGAAUGAUUCCAAUUCAAAUCAGGUUGAAUGUGCUGCUGCUAACCUAGAGUUCGAUUUGCUCUCAAAAUCUAAAAUAUCCGAGUGAGGUGACGGAUCACAAGAUAUAUAGACAGAUGAGAAAUCGGUAGACUACAGCUGGUCCUUUUUAUGGUAAUAGAUGAAUCAUGAUAGAGUUGUCAUUAACUUUGGUCCAUUCUGUUUCCCCUUAUGACAGCUCAUCAACUUUGAUACCGUAAUUUCUCAACUAUUUACCGUAUAACUCUAGAGAUAGAAGUCGUAGAUUCUCUGACCAAAGAUAAGGGGGUGGGGAUUUGGGGGUGGAGUGGGUGGGGUGAAAGCUGGAUUUGGUGAAUCUUCAUAAUUUUCCUUUAAUCUAGUGGUCAAGGCUUUUUAAGCAAUGUAUCUAAGGCAAGGGUGUGUUGAAUAGUUUCAAAAUGGUAUUUCAAAUAUCUAAAACUGAGCAAAUAAAAGAGUUACCAAAUAGUAAGGAUGUAUAAUGUAGUAAAUGCUUGCAAUUAUGGAAUAAGAUUUAAUAUUGAAAAAUCCAAGGAAGGCCCUCAGUUACAUUACUACAUUCAAUUUCUUUGCAAUAAUCUAUGUUGCUCGGAAUCUUCAAAAAUGCCGGCAGGUGCAUGUUAGAUUCUUAAAAAAUAGUGUAUUUUUGGAGAAUCCGACACGGGUGCGGCAUCCAAGUGACGAGUCCGCGCAACUUAGGCAAUAAUGCUUCUUUACAUAUAUUUCCCCUUGCAAUGGUACAAUAAUCAAAUAAACAGUUUUGCCUAAAUAUAAGAUGGUCUCGUUAAUGCUCUGCAGGUGAGAGUUGAAGUCCAUACAGGUGGCUCCGUGGCUGAUAACUGAAUAAAUUUUUAUUUGGUUCAACACAGAUGUUCUGGCUUAGCCUCUGCCUCUUUUUGAUAAUUUAUCUAGAAGGACUCUCAAAAAUCUAAUGGUCCACCUGAAAGACGAAGUGACCAUAUGCAUCAGUCACCCAACCCAUAUGAAAUAUGAGUGAGUUGGGUUGUGUUCUGUUUUUGUUUGACCCAUUUGCAACCCCCUCAUUUGCCAUUACCACUAAUCUAUAGAUAUCUCUAAUCUAUAGAUAUCUCUAUAUAAAAGGAGGACAUUUUGCCGGUGAUGUGGCACCCUCUGUGACUACCAUUCAUAUUUUUCAUUUUUGUCAAUUUUUUGCGUUUUCACCUUAUUUUUUAAAAAAACAAAGUAUUCAACAGUAGCCUCUUUUCCCUCAAACAUAAACCUGACUCUUCUUUCUUUAUGGUUCCUUUUUCUUUCCCUCUUCUUCGUCCUCUCAUCACAGGUACUUGCCAAGGUAAACAUCCUCUUUCUUGCUAAAACGUCCUCUCAUCCCAAUUUAACAAACUUGCUGUGUCAGAAAAAACAAGCGCUUACAAAUUCCCCCGAAACGGUACAAACGAACAUCUCUUAACCUCUUCAACAUCUGCAUAAGCCAACAUUUUACCCUUUUCAAAAAACUUUUUCGAGCCGAAAUAUUAAGGCCUUCAAUUCCAAUAGAGGCCCCUCAAACUUUCUCUCAUGCCCUCGUCCUCAAGGUACCUCUCUCUCUCUCUCUCUCUCUGCAAAUUUCCUGAAUUAUCAUUUAAACAGUAUCGCGUUGGAACGUUAUCGUAGAAAUAAAUUUUACAUAUUUUGGUGUCCACAAAGUGUGACACUUAUGUGUCUAAAUAAUGAGACAUGACUCAUUUAGUAUUGCAUGAUUUUUCAUCUAUGGAAAAAGUACAGAGACUUGAAGAGUUCUCUUCGUUGAUUCCUUUUUUGGAGUUUAGAUAAUCAUAAGAAAGGUAAAGGUUUUUUCUGAUAUCAUUGUUAUGUGACACUUCAAAAUUAGUGCUUCUAGAGAAGUAUCAACCACUGCCAGUGUACCAGGUAUUAAUGCUUUGAGAUGGAAUUGCACAACGUCAUUUGCCCCUCUUAAAUAAUUUGUAGUCUCAGUGUACAAACCUUCGUUGUUAAUCCAAAUGUAAAUUCAAUGAUUUAAUCUUUUGGUUAUACAUAUGGUGAUAAAGUAAAACUUGAUUAAUGGAUUUAUAUGUAUGAUUCUUACCGAACUAGCAUAUGGAUCUUAAAUGUUAACUCCUUAACUUGGUCCAAAGACAUAUAAGUUUGUUUAAGACAUAUAACUUGAUGCUAAAAGGAUGCUCAUUGUUAUAGGCUACUUUAUAGAGAUUGGUACUGAGGGCAUGUGGAUUUCGCAGGUGGCGCUAUAUAGUUUAUGCUUGUGUUUAUUCAAAUGUAGGGGUUGCAAUUGAAGUUGCACACUGAGUUAUCACUGAUUUGUUUAUGGUGUAGAUUUAGUUAACAGAGAAAGCAAAACUGGGUGUCUCAGUGGAAGCUCCAUGCAAUGAGAUGUUGCUGAUAUGUUGGAGUAUGUCUAUUGUUUCUAGUCUCAUUGUAUAUAACAAGAGAAUUUUAGUUUGUUGCUCCAAAGCAUGUUCAUGCUACUAUGAAAAAUAGUGAUGUCUAUUUUUUGUUCUUGAGAGAACUUGUGCUUUAAAGAGUAAUAAAUCGAGAGUUGUUUACUCUCUUCUUA